rnacentral:rRNA from 1 species
GCCCGAACGUAACAUGACACACCACCGUCCGCCAAAUAACUACGAGUACAAACUUAAAAUUUAAAGGACUUGACGGUAUUUCACACUCAACCUAGAGGAGCCUGUCUACUAACCGAUAACCCACGAUUAACCCAACCGCUUCUAGCCUCCAGCCUAUAUACCACCGUCGCCAGCCUACCUUAUAAAAGAAACAAAGUGAGCUAAACAGUAAUACACUAAAACGACAGGUCAAGGUGUAGCUAAUGAAUCGGAUUAAGAUGGGCUACAUUUUCUAACCCAGACUAUACGAACUAGGCCAUGAAACAAGCCUUCGAAGGCGGAUUUAGUAGUAAGCCGAGAACAUAACACUCAACUGAAACCAAUGCAAUGAAAUGCGU